rnacentral:tRNA from 1 species
GCCUGGCUAGCUCAAUCGGCUAGAGCAUUCGACUCUUAUUAACUAGUAAUCGAAAGGUUGCGGGUUCGAGUCCCGCGUUGGGCU